ensembl:lncRNA
UAAAGUUAAAGAUAUGAUGGUCGAGGGACUAGGAUCGAUGCAGCCACAAGGAAAGAAUCUGCCUUGGACCUCACUCUGGUAUCUAGUGAUGGCAGGAUUCUGUGAGUAGGAGGUAUGGGAGGAGUCGACAGUAGGGAGUGAUCACUACUAUGCACAGUAGGCUGGAGGGAGGAGGAGGUGUCAGUGGAUGGAGUAGGCAGGUGGGUGUUUGGAAGGGCAAAGUGGGAUCAGUUUCAGGAGCUGAUGAGUGAACAGGUGAUGGGUGGAUAUGAGAGGGGAUGUGGACAGUAUGAAUAACUGGGUGAGAACAGCAUUAGUGGGGGCAGCUACUGAGGCGAUACCUAAGAGUUCAGGUAGGAGGAGGAAGAAAGCAGUCCCAUGGUGGAAGGAGGAGUGUGGAGUAGGAACUGGGCAUUUAGAGUACUAAAAAGGACACAGAACCUCCAUCAGUCUGAUUCCGUAUCAGCAGGCCCUGGUGAGGAGAACUAUCCCUCAGUCUGAUUCCGUAUCAGCAGGCCCUGGUGAGGAGAAUUAUCCCUCAGUCUGAUUCAGUAUAAACAGGCCCUGGUGAGGAGAAUUAUCCAUCAGUCGUAUUCAGUAUCAACAGGCCCUGGUGAGGAGAACUAUCCAUCAGUCUGAUUCAGUAUCAACAGGCCCUGGUGAGGAGAACUAUCCCUCAGUCUGAUUCAGUAUCAGCAGGCCCUGGUGAGGAGAACUAUCCCUCAGUCUGAUUCAGUAUCAGCAGGCCCUGGUGAGGAGAACUAUCCCUCAGUCUGAUUCAGUAUCAGCAGGCCCAGGCCCUGGUGAGGAGAACUAUCCCUCAGUCUGAUUCAGUAUCAGCAGGCCCUGGUGAGGAGAACUAUCCCUCAGCCUGAUUCAGUAUAAACAGGCCCUGGUGAGGAGAACUAUCCCUCAGUCUGAUUCAGUAUCAGCAGGCCCUGGUGAGGAGAACUAUCCCUCAGCCUGAUUCAGUAUAAACAGGCCCUGGUGAGGAGAACUAUCCCUCAGUCUGAUUCAGUAUCAGCUGGCCCUGGUGAGGAGAACUAUCCCUCAGCCUGAUUCAGUAUAAACAGGCCCUGGUGAGGAGAACUAUCCCUCAGUCUGAUUCAGUAUCAGCUGGCCCUGGUGAGGAGAACUAUCCCUCAGUCUGAUUCAGUAUCAGCUGGCCCUGGUGAGGAGAACUAUCCCUCAGUCUGAUUCAGUAUCAGCAGGCCCUGGUGAGGAGAACUAUCCCGCAGUCUGAUUCAGUAUAAACAGGCCCUGGUGAGGAGAACUAUCCCUCAGUCCUGAUUCAGUAUAAACAGGCCCUGGUGAGGAGAACUAUCCCUCAGUCUGAUUCAGUAUCAGCAGGCCCUGGCGAGGAGAACUAUCACUCAGUCUGAUUCAGUAUCAGCAGGCCCUGGUGAGGAGAACUAUCCCUCAGUCUGAUUCAGUAUCAGCAGGCCCUAUUGAGGAGAACUAUCCCGCAGUCUGAUUCAGUAUAAACAGGCCCUAUUGAGGAGAACUAUCCCUCAGUCUGAUUCAGUAUAAACAGGCCCUGGUGAGGAGAACUAUCCCUCAGUCUGAUUCAGUAUAAACAGGCCCUGGUGAGGAGAACUAUCCCUCAGUCUGAUUCAGUAUCAGCAGGCCCUGGUGAGGAGAACUAUCCCUCAGUCUGAUUCAGUAUAAACAGGCCCUGGUGAGGAGAACUAUCCCUCAGUCUGAUUCAGUAUCAGCAGGCCCUAUUGAGGAGAACUAUCCUGCAGUCUGAUUCAGUAUAAACAGGCCCUAUUGAGGAGAACUAUCCCUCAGCCUGAUUCAGUAUAAACAGGCCCUGGUGAGGAGAACUAUCCCUCAGUCUGAUUCAGUAUAAACAGGCCCUGGUGAGGAGAACUAUCCCUCAGUCUGAUUCAGUAUCAGCAGGCCCUGGUGAGGAGAACUAUCCCUCAGUCUGAUUCAGUAUCAGCAGGCCCUGGUGAGGAGAACUAUCCCUCAGUCUGAUUCAGUAUCAACAGGCCCAGGCCCUGGUGAGGAGAACUAUCCCUCGGGCAAAGAGGUCAUGUUGGUGUCAUUUCUGUGACACCAUUGGAAGGGCGACACCUGUGGGAGAGGUGUGGGGGAUGCUUAAGAGGAUGAGUGGGGUUAGAAGCGAGUGGGAUUAUACAGUGUUGGCGAGUGGGAAGGAUGUGGCAGUAACAGAUGAGAAGGCAGAGAUGAUGGCGAAAGUGUUUGUCCAAGUGAAUAGCUCUGUAAAUUUGUCAGAGGAGGGGCAGAGGGGGAGAGAGAGAGCGAGAGAGGAGCUUCCUGGAGUGUUGGAUAGGAGGGAGGAUGUAAAUGAUACGUUGAAUGUGUCAUGGCUGAGGUCAAAAGGGCAAUAGGUACGGCUGGGUUAACUUCACCUGGGAAAGAUGAGGUGUGUUAUAUUAUGUUGGCCCAUCUUAGUGAUGAGGCACUGGAUAAGGUAUUGGUGUUGUACAACAGAGUGUGUGAGGAGGGGAAACUACCAGGUAGCUGGAAGAAGGCAGUAGUGGUACCAAUCCGGAAACCAGGAAAGGACCCAAUGAGGCCAACAAGCUAUCAGCCAAUAGCUUUAACAUCACAAGUAUGUAAGAUUAAGAACAAUGGACCCAGUGCUCUGAUUGGAAGGAGAGAUCAGGAAGAGGAGGGGAACUAUGGACCCAGUGCUCUGAUUGGAAGGAGAGGUCAGGAAGGGGAACUAUGGACACAGUGCUCUGAUUGGAAGCAGAGGUCAGGAAGGCUCAGGUGAACAAGGAGACUGUUGUAGCUGUAUUAUUUGAUGUGGAGAAGGUGUAUGAUGUGGAAGGAGGGGUCAGGAAGGCUCAGGUGAACAAGGAGACUGUUGUAGCUGUAUUAUUUGAUGUGGAGAAGGUGUAUGAUGUGGAAGGAGGGGUUGUUAAUCAAGGUGGAUAUUAUGGGGGUAGGAGGAAGAACACACCACUGGAUAAAGGACUUCCUGUUUGGAAGGUCUAUCCAGGUGAGGGUGGGGAAGUCUCUAUCACCCAGCUACCCUGUGGAUAACGAUACACCGCAGGGGAGCGUGAUUAGUCUUCUGUUGUUCUCAAUCGUGAUCAAUGAUGUUUACUCUCAUGUACGGACGGAUAUUGGGAGGUCGUUAUUUACAGAAGAUGGGGCCUUAUGGAAGAGGGGAAGAAAUGUGCCAUACAUAGUCAGGAAGGUACAGGAAGCAAUUGAUGAGGUAGAGUGGUGGGCAUUAAUGUGGGGAUUCAGGUUCUCUGUAGAGAAAACUCAGUUCUUUACCAGGAGGAAGGUGGGAGAUGAGGUAUGCUUGAGGUUAUAUGGGAGAAACUUGGAGAGGGUGGGGUCCUUCAGGUUCCUUGGGGUAAACUUUGACCCUAGACUGACCUGGGCAGAACACAUUGAGAGAGUGGUGGAAACGUGUAAGAAGGUGCUAAAUGUGAUGCGCUGUCUGACGGGGAAGGAGUGGGGGGCUGGACGUUCCUCAUUGAGGACCAUGUAUGUUGCACUGAUCCGGUCUGACAGGGAAGGAGUGGAGGGGGGGCUGGGCGUUCCUCAUUGAAGACCAUGUAUGUUGCAUUGAUCCAGUCUGACGGGGAAGGAGUAGGGAGCUGGGCAUUCCUCAUUGAGGACCAUGUAUGUUGCAUUGAUCCGGUCUGACGGGGAAGGAGUGGAGGGGCUGGGCGUUCCUCAUUGAGGACCAUGUAUGUUGCAUUGAUCCGGUCUGACGGGGAAGGAGUAGGGAGCUGGGCAUUCCUCACUGAGGACCAUGUAUGUUGCAUUGAUCCGGUCUGAUGGGGAAGGAGUGGGGGCUGGGCGUUCCUCAUUGAGGACCAUGUAUGUUGCAUUGAUCCGGUCUGACAGGGAAGGACUGGGGGCUGGGCGUUCCUCAUUGAGGACCAUGUAUGUUGCACUGAUCUGAUCUGUAAUAGACUGUGGCAGCAUAGCGUAUGGUUCAGCAUCCCGGACAUCAUUGGAAAGUCAUACAGGGGCAAGGACUCAGAAUAUGUAGUGGGGUGUUUCGGACCUCCCCAGUGACUGAACUACAGGUGGA